UACGUAGGGGGCAAGCGUUGUCCGGAUUUAUUGGGCGGAAAGAGCGUGUAGGCGGUUCGGUAGGUCCGUUGUGAAAACUCGAGGCUCAACCUCGAGACGCCGAUGGAAACCCUCGAACUAGAGUCCGGAAGAGGAGAGUGGAAUUCCUGGUGUAGCGGUGAAAUGCGCAGAUAUCAGGAAGAACACCCGUGGCUAAGGCGGCUCUCUAGUACGGUACUGACGCUGAGACGCGAAAGCGUGGGGAGCAAACAGG
rnacentral:rRNA from 1 species